rnacentral:rRNA from 1 species
AGUGAACGCUGGCGGUAGGCCUAACACAUGCAAGUCGAACGGCAGCACAGUAAGAGCUUGCUCUUACGGGUGGCGAGUGGCGGACGGGUGAGGAAUACAUCGGAAUCUACUUUUUCGUGGGGGAUAACGUAGGGAAACUUACGCUAAUACCGCAUACGACCUACGGGUGAAAGCAGGGGAUCUUCGGACCUUGCGCGAUUGAAUGGGCCGAUGUCGGAUUAGCUAGUUGGCGGGGUAAAGGCCCACCAAGGCGACGAUCCGUAGCUGGUCUGGGAGGAUGAUCAGCCACACUGGAACUGAGACACGGUCCAGACUCCUACGGGAGGCAGCAGUGGGGAAUAUUGGACAAUGGGCGCAAGCCUGAUCCAGCCAUACCGCGUGGGUGAAGAAGGCCUUCGGGUUGUAAAGCCCUUUUGUUGGGAAAGAAAAGCAGCAGGUUAAUACCCCGCGGUUCUGACGGUACCCAAAGAAUAAGCACCGGCUAACUUCGUG